UUCCUGAUGGCUCAGAUGGUAAAGAAUCUGCCUGCAAUGCAGGAGACCUGGGUUUCAUACCUGGGUCAGGAAG
rfam:Ovis aries breed Texel chromosome 5, whole genome shotgun sequence.